rnacentral:lncRNA from 1 species
AUGGAUGGAGUGAGUGCGAGAUGGGGGCCUGGACACACACACAACCCGCCGCAGACUCACGCCUGGAACAGCUUUCCUCUUUCAAGGGCUGACUGGUUGAUACUCUGGCUGCUGCUGGGAGCGAGAGAAGAGAGAACAGGUUACAACAUCACUGGUAACAACAAUUGCAAGAACCAUCUGCAGAAGGGAGCCAUGGAUCUGACUUCCAGGGGAUAAAGCUCUGAGGUUGGAGGGACCAGGCUGAGCUCUACUAUCAGAAAGACUGGCAUUGUCCCUGCUAAGGCUUCCAUCCUCUUAGUUUUCCCUGGGGGUAGAUGAUUUAAAGGUUGUUCUGAGUCUUUGCAAAUUCAUAACACAAGGUGAAUGUGUUCAUUUCUCCCAGGUCUAUCUGUGCCCACAGGAAAAGUAACAUGAGGGAAGGAGGGCAUCAGUGUUUCUCAAGGGAUGCUGUGGUGACAAGAUGCUCAGGGUUGAAGGGGAGGGCAGAGGAGGACCCAAAUUUAUGAAAGUGCUACUCUGACCAGA